AGGCGGCCCCGCCCCGCGCCCCGCGCCCGGCUGCGGCUGCGGCUUCCGGGAGGGUCGCGGGGCCUCGGCGGGGCCUCGGGCCCCCUGCGCAUCCCCGGCGCCGACCUGGGCGGUGGCCGGCCCCGCCCCGCGGGAGGUGCCCGCGCUCGCCUGGCCGAGAGCUUCCCAGGGCUGGGGGUGAGAGGGCCGGGGUCCCCCCGGGAGGGUCUCAGCCGCUGCGCCCCCAGACACAGGCGGUGGCCCGGCAGCCUCGCGGGGGAAGAGGUCGUGGCGACCCUGUGGAGCCUUCUCUCCUGGCAGGCCGACGCCCACCUGGGGUCCCCCCAGGCUCUCCUUCUGGGCCUGGUACCCUGACCCUCAACUCCCUACCCCAGGGGGGAAGCUGCCACCUGAGGGGGAAGGACGGGAGCUGAACCACAUUUGGUGAGCCGAGAAUGUGGUUGGGGGCACUUGGUGCAAGGAGCCGGACUGUUCAGGUGAUAAGCCAGGUGACUUGACAGUUCAGAAUCCUCCUCACUGGGAGUCUAAGCUCUCAGCAGCCCUGCAGCCACGGGAACGCGGUGAACACAGUUAGCAGAGAGCAGUGUCUGUCCUUCCCCCAACUUUGCAACCUGGUGUAGAAAUCACUGCAGCCCAGUGCCUUUGGGUUCAUUGCUGCACCCGCAUCUAAAAAUUGUAUUGCUGCUUACGGAGGUAACGGUCUCGAUAUAGACUCUUCACAGUCCAAGGCUGAUGCGAACACCUCAUGAUCUCUGCCAUUUUGCUGAGGCAGCUCAAAUAAUCCCCACUGCAAGGAGCUUGUUUCUCCCAUCACGGAGGAAACUGUCUGCGAAGUUGCAUUAAGCUUGGAUCCACAGUCAUUCUUUUUAACCU